AGCACUCCCUUUCAGAUUAGGGAAAGCACCUGAAUAGUUUUCAUAAGUGGCUGCGCAUCAUUUGAAAGCAUUCUAGUGUUGCCUGAACCGCUUUCAACACACCUUUCAACUAGAAAAUUUCACAUUCAGCAUAUCUGUAGUUCUACACGACUUUCAAUAAUAUUUAAAUUGGUUAACUGUAUUUCUUUUAUAUCUCUUUUAAUGCUUUUAUUGAUUUGAGGUAGAUAAACUUGAUUGUGCAUGAAAUCUUAUUUUUCCGCACAAAGGAGAUAGGAUUUGAGUAUAUACUAGGAGAACCGUACCUCUAAAGCAAGCCAGACCUCUGAAAUGCAAAGGUCUGGGUCAGAUAGAUGUUUGUUGAGGCCUUUGAACUAUGCUGGUACUGAUUCUGACGUUUGUUUCCCCUACAGUCAGUGUUGGCAAAAGAUGCCCUAGAGGACAUCUCUUUUUUAAAGCUCAUUGAGAAAAGACUCAUGAGUUUUGGUGUGAAAAAAAAAAUGCUUCUCUUAAAAACCCAGUGUGUUUUGUUUUUUUUUAGGGUAGCUUAGAGACCCCAUGAUUCUUAGAGCUAAUAGUGUUAGAUUCUUGUAGUCCCAAGGAAUCUAAAAAGCAAAUGUGUGAACAUUUCAGCUACUGUGUGCAAAAAUACAGUAGGCAAUAUAAAGUAAAAAAAG
rnacentral:lncRNA from 1 species